rnacentral:rRNA from 1 species
CGCGGCCUAUCAGCUUGUUGGUGAGGUAAUGGCUCACCAAGGCGACGACGGGUAGCCGGCCUGAGAGGGCGACCGGCCACACUGGGACUGAGACACGGCCCAGACUCCUACGGGAGGCGGCAGUGGGGAAUAUUGCACAAUGGGCGAAAGCCUGAUGCAGCGACGCCGCGUGAGGGAUGACGGCCUUCGGGUUGUAAACCUCUUUCAGCAGGGAAGAAGCGAAAGUGACGGUACCUGCAGAAGAAGCGCCGGCUAACUACGUGCCAGCAGCCGCGGUAAUACGUAGGGCGCAAGCGUUGUCCGGAAUUAUUGGGCGUAAAGAGCUCGUAGGCGGCUUGUCGCGUCGACUGUGAAAACCCGCGGCUCAACUGCGGGCUUGCAGCCGAUACGGGCAGGCUAGAGUUCGGUAGGGGAGACUGGAAUUCCUGGUGUAGCGGUGAAAUGCGCAGAUAUCAGGAGGAACACCGGUGGCGAAGGCGGGUCUCUGGGCCGAUACUGACGCUGAGGAGCGAAAGCGUGGGGAGCGAACAGGAUUAGAUACCCUGGUAGUCCACGCUGUAAACGUUGGGCGCUAGGUGUGGGGGACCUCUCCGGUUCUCUGUGCCGCAGCUAACGCAUUAAGCGCCCCGCCUGGGGAGUACG